rnacentral:rRNA from 1 species
UACGUAGGGGGCGAGCGUUAUCCAGAUUCACUGGGUGUAAAGGGAGCGUAGACGGCCAUGCAAGCCAGGGGUGAAAGCCCGGGGCCCAACCCCGGGACUGCCCUUGGAACUGCAUGGCUGGAGUGCGGGAGGGGCAGGCGGAAUUCCUGGUGUAGCGGUGAAAUGCGUAGAUAUCAGGAGGAACACCGGCGGCGAAGGCGGCCUGCUGGACCGCGACUGACGUUGAGGCUCGAAAGCGUGGGGAGCGAACAGG